UUGUGAAAGGGCGGUGCUUCAGCAGACUACAGGAGGUGAGGGCUAGAGUCCUGGGGAUAUCUGGGCGAAUCAGACCCGGGCAGAGGGAACAGCAAGCUCGAAGCACCCAGGCCUGGCGAGUUGGGGGCGGGCAGGCGGGAGGCCUGCUCGGCUGGGAUGAGGGGCCACAAACUGGGGGAGCCACAAGGGAUGCUGUCCAAGAAGUAAUGGGGCCAAGAAGUGAUGUCCAAGAAAUGGAAAGCCAUAGGGAGGUUUGACAGAGGAGAGCUCUUCUAGGAUCCUAGGGGCCACUGUGUUGAGAAUACAUCGAAUUUCGACGAGGUCCUCACUCUGUCCUUGUCCCAGGACUGGAAAAGGUGCCUAUGAUUACCAGAUGAUCCAAACUCUGCUAGGAUUGGAACAUUUAUAGGAAAACACUGAACUGAACACGUCACACGUUUGUACCCAUGAGCGAAGAGGCUGACUUGGCCUGAUCUUGGUACGACCCUCACCCCAUCUCCUGCCCCCUCCAUAAGGUUGCCAGCCACGGGCAGCUUGGAAAGCCAGGCUCUGGCCCUGGUCAGGUUCUCUCAAGUCCUACAGGCUGUCUUUGGCCCUGCCGCCAUCUCCUCUCCCUGGCCACUCCACCACGUAGACACUGUUGCUCUCCCCGGAGGCCUAGAUCACAGCUCCCCCUUCUGAACUGGAGGGAUCCGAGCAGAACUGCUGUGUCUAACUCAGAUUGGUUCGAGGUCUGAGGCUUCCAGCUCUCUGACCUUCAACUGACUUCCAUGGCCCAACCAAGACUGACUCAGAGCAGCCCAGCCCCAGGGGUUAGCCGUUCCUCUGGUCUCCCUGGCUUCCUUGGGAGUGUUAAUACAAGAGUCCCUGAACUUGCCUAUCAGAUUGGAGUGCUCAUUGCUUCUUCCAUGAUCCAGAAAACCAAGAAUGUCCGGCAUCCUGCUCAAUGAGAAGAACAAGUCAGCCGCGGGGGUGGGAACAUGUCCAUCCCCAUGGGUGGUCCAGAAAAUUGGCCCUGAGGGUCUCAGUGCUGUGAGAGGACAGCUGGGCCCAUAUGACCCAGGGUCCAUUCCCCUCCAACAUUUAAAGUUUCUGUGUGACGUCACUAGCUGGUGCCCCGUGAGUGGGAACUUACUCUCUUUGCCUUACAGGGAUGGGUUCGGGAUGUACUUACGGAUGCUCCUAACUGAAUUUCUUCCACACCACUGAUGACAGGCUUUGUGGGUUACUGACUAAAGACAGAUCUGAGCUGGCAGAAUCAAAGGAAGUGGGUUUAGGAAAAGAUCCAAAUUACAUUGAGGGAGAGCCCACUGCUGUUCCAAGCAGUCAAAUACCCCUUUUUGAUUGAAAACUCUUGUUAUUAAAAAUGCAUUUAAAAAAAUGAAAUCGAAAGCAAAUCCUUUCAAAUAAGAUUUUAGCCUUAUCUCAAAUCCAGGGUUUUUGGUUUUUUUUUUGAAGUUCUACCUUCUCACACUCCAUACAGAGCUCUGCUGGGAAGACCACAGACCAUAGCCGCCCAUCCUCCUCGCAUGCUGACUCAGGAAAGCAAGGAUCCCUCAUGUUCCCCGAGACAGGCAUGCAGUGUGUCUCCCUUGGGCUACUUUUUAGGCUGCUUGUGUGCAGGAGGCGGUCACCUAGACUGUGUUAAAUAUUGUCCCACCAAAAUUCCCACUUCCCUCAGGGCUGAAGCCUGGACUCAUGCGGAACCCGGACUCCGGCAGUGGAAAGAGAAAGGAGCCUGUGAAGUAGGCCGGCCAAGACAGUGUUAACAUGAAUCCUACUUAAUUCCAAUUCCACCAUGAAAGGCUCACUUUGAGACUUGAUUGAGGAUGGUAGCGCCCACUGUGGAGACUUUCCCUUUUGUAAGCUAAAUGCACAUCAUGGGCAACGGGACAUUUCUGAGCAUCUUGGCCUCAGAUGGGACGCGGUGCCACCGCCCCUCCUUUUGGAGGAGGAUGGAGGCAAACACAGCCGAUGGACAGGGGAGCUAGAGGGAGCCGUGUGGGGGAUGAGACCCAAAGGAAAGCAGAUCACGUGAGAGAAUGUCAGGGGCACUCCACGAACCCACCCGCGUGAGAAAGGUUCUGGAACGGUAAGCCAGACUCAGGCUCCAGUCCUGCACCUCAGAGGGGAGGGUUAACGCUUCGAUCUUCUUGCCCCCGCCCCUUGCUGACGUGUGUGAUUAGAGAUAAAGGAGCAAUGCGUGCCCUUGAACGGAAAUAUCCAUAGCCCGUGGGAGCUCAGGAACCCUUGCCGUGUGACCUCCCGAGACUGAGCGAGCAGACACAUUCGCCCUGUUUGCAAAGUCAGCGUUGCCACUGCGGGAGAAGCAGGGGCGGGUUGUGCAUCCGAGCAGGGACUGUCCUAGACUGGACUGUGAGCUCUGGCACGGCCACCCAGGAUGGGGGCCGUGGUGGAGGCCGUCCCCCGCCCCUGUCCAGGGGAGCGGAAUUGCUGCUUGACUAACUGGAGAACAUUUAUCUUCCUCUCUGUGCGGGAGCAUUUCCCUUCUCACUUGGUGAGAGCUUCAGUACUGAGUUUCGGGUUCCCCAGUGCUGGCAGAAUCAGGGGCCGCCUUCCCUGUCUCCGGCCUACGCCUUCACUCCAGUGUCAGUGGACUUGGCCGUAUCAAGGUACUCACAGUAGAAAGAAGCCCAGGAAGUAAUGCCUCAGGGGUGCUGCUGGCCCUGGCACUUGGGUGGUGGGUGCAGAGAACAAGGCCGGAGUGGCUCUGAGCCCAUGUGGGACUACCCCGUAGAGUCUCAGCGCUCCAUGGGAGCAGUGGCACCCUAAGAGACUGAUCUUGGUGCCACUGCACAGCUGGGAGCUUGGAGCCUUGAGAUGUGGGCAUUCAGGUUAGUGGAACCAUCUCUUGACCUCCUGAACGAGGAAGCCUGUGACAUGUGGCCUGUGCUUGGAUGUGGAAUCACCACAGACACCGCCGAUUCUCCCCCUUCGCCCAGGCAGCCUGCCUGACAGAUGGACGGUCUGCAUCACGCUAAUUAGUGUUUGCUCCUCUGCUCCUGGUUGCGUGCCUUAUGCCCUCCCUCCUGUGCUUGCCCGUGCCCUUGAAGGCAAGGGCUGUCUCUUCCCUCCCCCUGUCUCCCCGCAACGUGUGUCUGAACUCAGGGGUAGUCGGGCCCUGGGGUUCACGAAGGUCCCCUUGUGCUCAUUACUCCUGCUAACAGGUGCUCAGCUCAGGGCCUGUGGGCUUGGAUUCCAGGGGGCCUGACCUGAGCUGGAGAGGUAGGGAAUGGGAUACAAGGCUCCUAUGCCAUGCCCCGUCUUCACAGAGACCUCCCCGCCCCCGCCCCAGAGGAAACAGCACCCCUGUCACCACCCACCUCCUGAAUCUGACUUAGUUUUCUUCUCAGCACUUUUCACUCCCACAUUUGCCCAUGUCUCUCCCAUCAGAACCGAGCUCUGUGAAGGCAGGGAUUUCUGUUUUGUUCCCUGCUCAUUGUCCAGGCCUAGAAUAGCACUGGGCAUGGAAAGAAUAUCUUAGCCAAUACUUGUUGACAAAAUAUAAUGCCACUGUUGCCAGUAAUGAUGACUAUGAUGAAAAUUUCGUAAAUCCUUUGAUCCAUUCUUUUUUUUUUAAGAGAUGAAAUAUAUCGGAGCGCCUGGGUGGCUCAGUGGGUUAAAGCCUCUGCCUUCAGAUCAGGUCAUGAUCCCAGGGUCCUGCGAUCGAGCCUUGCCCCCUGCCAAAUUGGUCUCUCUGCUCAGCAGGGAGCCUGCUUCCUCCUUUCUCUCUGUCUGCCUCUCUGACUACUGUGAUC